rnacentral:rRNA from 1 species
AGUGAACGCUGGCGGUAGGCCUAACACAUGCAAGUCGAACGGCAGCACAGUAAGAGCUUGCUCUUACGGGUGGCGCGUGGCGGACGGGUGAGGAAUACAUCGGAAUCUACUUUUUCGUGGGGGAUAACGUAGGGAAACUUACGCUAAUACCGCAUACGACCUACGGGUGAAAGCAGGGGAUCUUCGGACCUUGCGCGAUUGAAUGAGCCGAUGUCGGAUUAGCUAGUUGGCGGGGUAAAGGCCCACCAAGGCGACGAUCCGUAGCUGGUCUGAGAGGAUGAUCAGCCACACUGGAACUGAGACACGGUCCGGACUCCUACGGGAGGCAGCAGUGGGGAAUAUUGGACAAUGGGCGCAAGCCUGAUCCAGCCAUACCGCGUGGGUGAAGAAGGCCUUCGGGUUGUAAAGCCCUUUUGUUGAGAAAGAAAAGCAGCAGGUUAAUACCCCGCUGUUCUGACGGUACCCAAAGAAUAAGCACCGGCUAACUUCGUG